rnacentral:rRNA from 1 species
UGGGGAAUCUUGCACAAUGGGGGAAACCCUGAUGCAGCGACGCCGCGUGAGCGAUGAAGGUUUUCGAAUCGUAAAGCUCUGUCCUAUGGGAAGAUAAUGACGGUACCAUAGGAGGAAGCCCCGGCUAACUACGUGCCAGCAGCCGCGGUAAUACGUAGGGGGCGAGCGUUGUCCGGAAUUACUGGGCGUAAAGGGUUCGCAGGCGGCAUGACAAGUCCGAUGUAAAAGGCGAAAGCUCAACUUUCGUAAGCAUCGGAAACUGUCAAGCUUGAGUGAAGGAGAGGCAAGUGGAAUUCCUAGUGUAGCGGUGGAAUGCGUAGAUAUUAGGAGGGAUACCGGUGGCGAAGGCGAGUUGCUGGACUUCAACUGACGCUGAGGAACGAAAGCGUGGGUAGCAAACAGG